rnacentral:lncRNA from 1 species
GGAGGUUGAGACGGCAUUUUUAAUUCUACCAGAUAUUUUCAACUAUAGCAAUAAAACUAAAUUUGUUUGUCUUUAAAAUAUUUUAUUAAUUACAAUUUAAUUAUACAUGUAUUAGUUAAUCAUAAACUCAAAUGGGAGCCCUUGCUUGUUCUGUUGUCACUGAGUUCGUUGUUUGUCUCCAAUGAUGGCCACUACAAACAAUCACAGACCACUUUGCAGGUUUUCUUAACCCAAGCAUAAUUGUUGCAGUUUGUCUUCGUCGCAUAUUGUUUACAGUAGUUUUGGUAAGAGGCACCAACCUUUUGAAGCGGCGAACAACAGCCACAGCUCUUUUUACAAUUCUUCAUCAUGUAGUCUUUAUAGUGUUGUGUACAAUACGACUUGGCCACCCAGACUCGACAGUGUGCAGGUGCCGCUUUAUCAGCACAACC